rnacentral:rRNA from 1 species
GUCUAUUUGAACUUAUAAUAAAUAGUCUAGCCUGCCCACUGAAUAUUUAAAGGCCGCGGUAUCCUGACCGUGCGAAGGUAGCAUAAUAAUUAGUCUUUUAAUUGAAGACCGGAAUGAACGGCUUGACAAAAGUAACCUGUCUCAAGUAUUAAAUAUUGAAGUUAACUUCUAAGUGAAAAGGCUUAAAUAACCUAGGGGGACGAUAAGACCCUAUAAAACUUUAUAUUCCUAAAAUAAAUUAUAAGUUAUUUAUUUAAAAUUAUUUAUUGAAAAUAUAUUUCAUUGGGGUGAUGAGAGUAUUAAAAUAACUGCUUUUUAGUUCCACAAUUAUUUUUGCCUUAAUGAUCCUUAUAUUAAGAAUUUAAGAAAAAGUUACUUUAGGGAUAACAGCGUUAUUUUUUUUAAGAGUUCUUAUCGACAAAAAAGAUUGCGACCUCGAUGUUGAAUUAAAUUGUCCUAGUAAUGUAGAAAUUAUGUAGGAAGGUCUGUUCGACCUUUAAAAAUUUACAUGAUUUGAGUUCAAACCGGCGUGAG